GAUGAACGCUAGCGGCAGGCCUAACACAUGCAAGUCGAACGGUAACAUAGAGAAGCUUGCUUUUCUGAUGACGAGUGGCGCACGGGUGCGUAACGCGUAUACAAUCUACCUUUUACAGGGGGAUAGCCUUUAGAAAUGAAGAAUAAUACCCCAUAGUAAGUUGAUGUGGCAUCACAAUAACUUUAAAGAUUCGUCGGUAAAAGAUGAGUAUGCGUCCUAUUAGCUAGAUGGUGUGGUAACGGCACACCAUGGCAACGAUAGGUAGGGGCCCUGAGAGGGGGAUCCCCCACACUGGUACUGAGACACGGACCAG
rnacentral:rRNA from 1 species